CAGCUGCACGUCGUCCCCACAGCACAGCACGUUCAUGCCAUUCCUGUCCCAGGCGGUGGUCAUCCUCACCCGCUGUCAGGCAGACAUCACGACUGACAGCUUCUUUCCGGCUGCUUGGAGCCCACAGACAGUGAGACAUGGAGGAGAAUAAGAGCAAUUUGUCUUCAAUGGUGGAGCCGAGAGAAGAAAAAAAAGAGGAAAGAGAAGGAAAGGGAAAAAGGAA